rnacentral:lncRNA from 1 species
AGUAUUGUGAUCUGAAUUCUGAGUGCAGGGAACAUUAGAUGAUGGAAAAGAAAUAGCAGUGAAGAGAUUGUCAAAAGCUUCGGGGCAAGGAUUGGAAGAAUUUAUGAACGAAGUGGUGGUUAUUUCAAAGCUCCAACAUCGAAAUCUGGUUAGAUUACUUGGGUGUUGUGUUGAAGCAGAAGAGAAGAUACUCGUCUAUGAGUUCAUGCCCAAUAAAAGUUUGGAUGCUUUUCUAUUUGGUUAGUAACUUAUUAAUUUUGUGUUGUCUACAUUUUUUUUGAAUUUUCACUUUUUCCUUUGAAUUUUCUCUUCUUUUUAUUUAUUUAUUUUUUUUAUCUAUUUUAUAAGGAAGAUUAUAUAUAUUUUUAAUAGGAGUUGGUCUAUACUCUAGGAUUUAAAUAGUACUGGCAGCAGUAGGUUUUGACUCUCUCCACAUUUUAAUAUUUAUUUCAGUUGAUUCACGUAACUUCAAUUAUGCUACGAUCAUAAUGAAUACAGUAUGAUAGAAAUAAAAAUGCUGGCUUUAGUUUAGAUCCUCAAUUAUAGGAAUUAAUUAUUAAUCUUGGUGGUAAAUUUUGUUACAGAUCCUAUUAGACAAAGACUUUUGGAUUGGAGAAAACGCUUCAACAUUAUUGAAGGGAUUAGUCGAGGAUUGCUUUAUCUUCAUAGAGAUUCAAGAUUAAAGAUUAUACAUAGAGAUCUAAAAGCAAGUAAUGUUUUACUUGACCAAGAUUUAAAUCCAAAAAUUUCUGAUUUUGGGAUGGCCAGGAUCUUCGGAGGUGACGAAAAUCAAGCCAAUACUAAAAGGGUUGUUGGAACUUAGUAAGUUGGAACUUUCUCCCUACAAUUUAUUUUUAUUCAUUUUUUGAUAAAAUAUUAUAUAAAUAUGUCUAUGGAUGGAUUCGGUGCUUAAAGAAAAUAUAUGUCCAUACCCCUAUCAAGUUUAAUUUUGUUCAAUUUGUGGACUCAAGUUUUUGUUUUUAAUUUUAAAUGAUUUAUUAUUUAUUCUUAAUUCGGGUUGACUCGUGGACAAGUUUAAAUUAGAGUUGCAAUUGGUGUUAUUUUUUAUGUUAAAAUACAGUGGUUAUAUGUCUCCUGAGUAUGCAAUGCAAGGGCAAUUUUCAGAGAAAUCAGAUGUGUUCAGCUAUGGAGUUCUACUACUAGAGAUUGUUAGUGGAAGAAGAAACACAAGCUUUUACAACAAUAAGGAUGACCUCAGUCUCUUGGGAUAUGUAAGUUCAUAAGAUAGUUAAGAUAGUUAGAGAUAUUGGUGGAGGAAUUAGGGUGUAAGAUGUUGUCUUUGUGAGUUAUUCGGGUUCGAUUUGAGAAAACUUAAAUUUGGCUCAGCAAUUAAUAUAGUCGAGCAAUCAUUUGAGUUGAAUUUGAGAAUCUUAAUGCUUGAAUCGAGUAGCUCGCAAGCUAACGUCAAGAACCCUAACACUUGAAACUAGUAGCUUGCAAGGCUUUUCAAUCUUAAUCAAUACUGAAAAUUUUUAGUUCAAACUCGAACUUGAUUACAAAUAAUCAAGUUUGAAGUUAAGCAGAAUAGUGAAGCUCAUUGUAAACUUAGGUAAAACAAGCCUAGGAGAGUUAGAAAAUUUCAAUCUUUAUCUUGAAUAGAGUUGAUUAAACUCUAUUUAAACUUUAAGAUUAAAAUUUUGAGUCAAGCAAAGCUGAAUAAUUUUGGCAUUAAUUAAGUCAAAAGUUGUUUUUGUUUUCAGGCAUGGAAAUUAUGGAGGGAAGGCAAUAUUUGGGGCUUAGUAGACAAGGUGAUUUUAGAGUCGAAAUCAUAUUCAAAUAAUGAAAAAGAAAUAUGGAGAUGCAUACAUGUUGGAUUGCUAUGCGUUCAAGAAUAUACUAAAGAUAGACCCACUAUAUCUACUGUUAUUUCAAUGCUUAAUAGUGAGAUUUCAGAUCUUAACACUCCAAAGCAACCUGCUUUCACUCAAGCGCCACUAAUGAGCCAUGAUGUUGAAGAUAGAGGUUCACUUAAUGGUGUAACUCUUACAAACCUUGAUGGUCGAUAAAAAUGUAAAUUAAUUAUUUAUAUUGUUUACAAUUAAAGUUCGAGCAUUGAAAUUUAUUUUUAUAUUUUGUUUUGAUGUGUUUUUGUCAUUUUAUUUGUUCCAUUCUAAAAGAUUAUUUUACCAAUAAAGGCCCAUUUUCAACCCACUAAUAUGUUAUUUUGAAUUAUUCUCAACAUUUUUCAGCUUGGCUAACUCCAGCAAUCGUUAUGUAGGGAUAUUGUACCAUCAAAUCCCCCUACAAACUGUUGUAUGGGUGGCAAAUAGAAACAGGCCUCUAAAAGACUUUUCUGGGAUUCUAACCAUAUCAGAUGAUGGCAACCUUGUUGUUUCCAAUGGAAAAGUUGAGAUUCUUUAGUCAACAAAUGUAACGAAUUUGGUUCCUAAUGCAACAACUGCACAGCUUUUAGACUCUAGAAACCUUGUCCUCAAUAACGGUGAGAAUGGAGGAAGCAGCAUCUUAUGGGAGAGUUUUCAACAUCCUUCUAAUGUAUUCCUUCAAACUAUGAAGAUCAGCACUGAUGUAAAAACGGGUCGUAAGGUGCAGACGAGAUCAUGGAAAAGCCCUGAUGACCCAUCUGAUGGCAACUUUGUUCAAGGCAUUGAACCUUUCAGCAUCCCGUGUUAAAUAAACUUAAAUGAAAGUUAAGAGUUAUGUAAGUGAAAGGUCAAGAGUUGAAAGGUCAAGAGUUAUGUUGUUUUUUAAUGGGUUUAAAUUAGUAGUUUUUUGUUUAGGAAAAUGAAAGGUCAAGAGUCAUUGGUUUAUGGUUAUUAUUAGAUUUUAAUAUUUUCAGUUUUUUGUUGCUUUAAAGGGUAGACUAUAGCCUAUAAAUAGUUUGUAAGCUUUUGAUUUUAUGAGAGAGAACAAUUUUAAUAUUGAGAACAUUUUCAUCAAUUUGGUAUCAGAGCUAUGGAGAGUGUGACUAGUAAUGUGCCAUUGCCUCAACUAACAAAGGUGAACUAUGAGAAUUGUAGCAUCCAAAUGAAAGCUCUUCUCGGGUCUCAAGAUGGUUGGGAGGUGGUCCAAGAAGGUUUCGUAGAACCGACAACUAUUGCGGGAUUUACGGCGGCUCAAAACAAGGCGUUGAAAGAAAUACGGUCGAAAGAUAAGGCGGCAUUGUACAUGUUAUUUCGAGCCGUUGAUGACUCGGGCUUUGAGAAGAUUGCAAGUGCGACAACUUCAAAAGAAGCGUGGGACAUUUUAGCAAAGGUGUACAAAGGAGCCGACCGAGUUAAACAAGUCCGCCUUCAAACUCUUUGUGGCGAGCUGGAAGGCAUGAAGAUGAAGGAAUCGGAAAGUGUCUCCGACUAUAUCACACGUGUUCAAACCGUGGUGAACCAACUCAACCGAAACGGAGAAGCGUUAACCGAUGCACGAGUUGUGGAGAAGAUUUUGAGAUCAUUAACUAACAGUUUCGAGAAUGUUGUAUAUGCCAUAGAAGAGUCAAAAGAUCUAGCAAUGCUCAUAGUCGAUGAACUCGCCGGUUCUCUCGAGGCACAUGAACAACGUAAGAAGAAGAAGAAAGAGGAGACACUCGAGCAAGCACUUCAAACCAAGGCAUCAAUCAAAGACGAGAAGGUUCUUAAUUCUCAAAGCCUUCGAGGUAAAGGUCGUGGUCAUGGAGAUCGAGGAAAUGGUCGUGGUGGAAAAGGUCGUGGUCAAGAAGGGAAUUAUGAGGAGAAGGAGCAUUCAAACCAACAAAAUUGGCGUGGAAGAAGACGUGGUCGUAGAAGAGGUCGAAUUAUUCCAAUGUCGAGUGCUACAAGUGUGGCAAAUAUGGUCACUAUGCGAAGGAUUGUAACUCUGAUAAGUGUUACAAUUGUGGUAAGGCGGGACAUUUCGCGAAAGAAUGUCGCGUCUCAAAAAAGAUGGAAGAGACAACUAACCUAACCACAGAAAAUGAGGGGGCAAAAGAAGGUUUUCUCUUGAUGGCACACAACAAAGUCAACACCAACAACAACAUGUGUGGUACCUUGACACAGGUGCAAGCAACCAUAUGUGUGGGCUUAAGCACCUAUUCAAAGAGAUGCAAAAGGUUGAAACGGGACAUGUGUCAUUUGGAGAUGCGUCGAAGGUUGAGGUAAAAGGCCAAGGUACCAUUUGUUAUUUACAAAAUGAUGGGUUAGUUGGGUCAAUCCAUGAUGUGUAUUACGUACCAGANNNNNNNNNNNNNNNNNNNNNNNNNNNNNNNNNNNNNNNNNNNNNNNNNNNNNNNNNNNNNNNNNNNNNNNNNNNNNNNNNNNNNNNNNNNNNNNNNNNNCAUUUUGAGUAUGGGGCAACUCAUGGAAAAAGGUUAUUCGGUACUUAUGAAAGAUCGGGUGUUACACUUGAAAGAUAAGGAAGGGUGUUUGGUCGCUCAAGUUGAAAUGGAGAGAAAUCGCAUGUUCAGGUUGAAUCUGAGAAGUGUUCGAGGAAAAUGUUUGCGAGUUGAUGUUGAAGACAAGGCGUCACUGUGGCAUCUCCGUUUUGGCCAUCUACAUUAUGGUGGUCUAAACGAGUUGGCGAAGAAGAAUUUGGUGCAUGGGCUACCAGACAUGGACUAUGAGGGAAAAUUUUGUGAAGAAUGUGUGCUCGGUAAGCAUGUGAGAACUUUGUUUCAAAAGAAGGCAGAAUAUCAGGCUAAGCAACUUCUCGAAUUGAUUCAUACCGACAUAUGUGGACCAAUCACCCCCGAAUCUUUUAGCGGUAAAAGGUAUUUCAUUUCUUUUAUCGAUGAUUUCUCACGAAAAACUUGGGUUUAUUUUCUUAAAGAAAAAUUCGAGGCAUUUGAGGUGUUCAAGAAGUUCAAAGUGAUGGUUGAAAAAGCAACUGGUAGACACAUCAAAUAUGUACGAUCUGAUAGAGGUGGCGAGUAUACUUCGACGGCUUUCAUAGAGUAUUGUAAGGAGCAAGGCAUAAGACGAUUCCUAACUGCACCGUACUCUCCUCAACAAAAUGGUGUGGCCGAGAGGAAGAAUCAGACUAUUCUCGACAUGGUUCGAUCAAUGCUCAAGAGCAAGAAAAUGCAGAAGGAAUUUUGGGCGGAAGUUGUGCAAUGUGCCAUCUAUGUGCAAAAUCGAUGUCCACAUGCGAAGUUGGAUGAUCAAACACCACAAGAGGCUUGGAGCAGACAAAAACCACCAGUUUCUCAUCUUAAAGUAUUCGGUAGUGAGGCCUAUGCACAUGUGCCGGAUCAGCGAAGAACGAAGCUCGAAGACAAAAGUAAAAUGUUUAUUUUUAUUGGGUAUGAUGAGAAAACAAAAGGAUACAAGCUACUCGACCCGAUAAGUAAGAAGGUUGUGGUAAGUCGUGAUGUACAAUUUAAUGAAGCAAGCGAGUGGAAUUGGAAUAACUCAACGGAGGUUAUCAUCAAAGAUGAAGGAUCAUCAAUCGCUACACCAACAACCAUACCGACAAAUCCCGAAACUACUGAUGAUGAAAAUGAACCGCAACAACCAAAAAUGCGAAGUUUGCAAGAUUUGUAUGAUUCAACAAAUGAGGUACAUAUUGUAUGUCUUUUGGCAGAUUCAGAGAUUAUAAGUUUUGAAGAGGCGGUGCGAGACAAGAAGUGGCAAACUGCUAUGGAUGAGGAGAUUAAAGCAAUUGACCGCAACAACACAUGGGAGUUAACAGAAUUGCCGAAAGGAAGUCAACCCAUUGGUGUGAAGUGGGUGUUCAAAAGAAAGAUGAAUGCUCAAGGCGAGUUAGAACGGUACAAGGCGCGACUUGUUGCAAAGGGAUAUAUGAAAAUAGAGAGGAGAAGAAGGUGCUGAAAUUGAAGAAGGCACUUUACAGGUUGAAGCAAGCACCGCGGGCAUGGAAUACUCGUAUCGAUACAUACUUCAAGGAGAAUGGGUUCAAACAAUGUCCUUAUGAACAUGCCCUCUACAUGAAGAAGAAUGGAGGUAAUAUGUUAUUUGUUGCUCUUUAUGUCGAUGACCUUAUUUUUAUGGGGAACAAUGGUGAGAUGAUACUGGAUUUUAAGAGCAAAAUGACACAAGAAUUCGAGAUGACAGAUUUGGGUUUAAUGAAAUUUUUCCUUGGUUUGGAGGUUCGACAAGAAAGGAUAGGUAUUUUUGUGUCACAAGAGGCAUAUGCAAAGGAAAUUUUGAAGAAGUACAAGAUGGCACAUUGCAACCCGGUAUCAACACCAAUGGAACCAAGUGUAAAACUCUCGAAAUUCGAUGGAGGAGAACGAGUCGACGCAAGUAAAUACCGAAGUUUGGUGGGAAGCCUUCGCUAUCUCACUUGCACAAGGCCUGAAAUUUCGCUAAGUGUUGGCAUUGUAAGUCGGUUCAUGGAAGAGCCGGUUUGUUCACAUUGUAAGGCAUUGAAGCGAAUCCUACGGUACAUUCAAGGAACGGUGUUACUCGGGUUAUUUUAUUCAAAUAUGGAAGAUUACAAGUUGAUUGGGUAUUCCGACAGUGAUUGGUGCGGAGACUUAGAUGAUCGGAAAAGUACAUCGGGAUAUGUGUUCUUUAUGGGUAACACAGCAUUUGCUUGGCUUUCAAAAAAGCAACCAAUUGUGACACUAUCGACAUGUGAAGCUGAAUAUGUGGCAGCAUCUUGGUGUGUGUGUCAUGCUAUAUGGCUCAGAAACUUGUUGGGCGAGUUGGAGCAACAACAACUUGGUGCAACUGAGAUACGAGUUGACAAUAAAUCAGCGAUUGAGUUGGCAAAGAACCUAGUGAAUCAUGAGAGAAGCAAACACAUUGACAUUCGUUUUCAAUUCAUCCGAGAUCAUGUAAAGGAAGGAAGUGUGAAAUUAGUGCACGUGGCAAGUCGGGACCAAUUCGGGACCAAGUCGCGGAUAUCUUUACAAAACCACUACCGAUGGUACUCUUCGACAACUACAAGAAAUUAAUCGGCAUGAAGGAUGGCAGAAGCAUUUAAGUUUACAGGGGAGUUUUGUUAAAUAAACUUAAAUGAAAGUUAAGAGUUAUGUAAGUGAAAGGUCAAGAGUUGAAAGGUCAAAAGUUAUGUUGUUUUUUAAUGGGUUUAAAUUAGUAGUUUUUUGUUUAGGAAAAUGAAAGGUCAAGAGUCAUUGGUUUAUGGUUAUUAUUAGAUUAUAAUAUUUUCAGUUUUUUGUUGUUUUAAAGGGUAGACUAUAGUCUAUAAAUAUUUUGUAAGCUUUUGAUUUUAUGAGAGAGAACAAUUUUAAUAUUGAGAACAUUUUCAUCAUCCCGGAGGGUGUCAUUUGGAAUGGUCGUAUCUAUAUUGGUUUAAUAAAUGUUAAUAGAAUUUAUUUUGAUGGGUUUUAUGUGGUUGCAGAUGAUGUAGAAAAAAUUUAUUACGAAACUUACGAAUAUUCUACUGACUCUAGGUUGAUAUACUUUGAAUUAGAGUCUGAUGGAAGAUACCUUGAACGAAUAUGGGAUGCGGGGAAAGGGGACUGGAUAAACGGGUACUCUAGUUAUCUAACAGAUUGUGAUGUUUAUGGAAAGUGUGGGGCAUUUGGAAUCUGCGAUUCAACGAAACGACCCAUUUGCAGUUGUUUGAAAGGAUUUAAGCCUAGGAAUAUAGAGGAAUGGAGUAGAGGUAAAUGGAGUAGUGGGUGCUUUAGGACUACCCCUUUGCACUGCCAAAGAGAGAACAACAAUGGAAAUGAAGCAGGCCAAGGAGAUGAUGGGUUUUUAAAGCUGAAGAAGAUGAAAGUACCGGCAUUUCCAGACCAGUCAUCAAUAACUAACGGCGAAUGCAAAGAUCAAUGAAUGAAGAAUUGUUCGUGCGUGGCUUAUGCGUAUGAUGCUGGCAUUGGUUGCAUGUUAUGGAGUGGAGAUUUGAUUGUGUCCAGAAAUAUUUCUCUAAUCGGGGAGUCGAUCUUUACAUUCGUCUGCCAUCUUCGGAACUUGGUAAACUUGUCUUCCAUAUCGACCAUGUGUGUGACGAAUUGCAUCAAUUAAUCUUCAAUUCUUUUGGGUCGAAGUCUCAUAAACAAAUUUUCUGGAUUUGCAGAUAAAGGGAAAAGUAACUGUGGGCAAUUGUGUAGCCUUCAACUCAUUGCUUCUUUGAUUUCCAUCACAGGAAGGAAUAAAAAACGGACACAUAUCAAAGACAAAUUUCAUAGUGAAAAUAUAGGAGAAAGUUCAAUCGGUGUUAAACUCCAGCAGCCUCCACUAUUCAAUUUCCAAGAACUUGCCACCGCGACCAACAACUUCCAUCCCCCAAAAAAGCUAGGGCAGGGUGGUUUUGGUCCGGUUUACAAGGUAAUAUAUAAUAGCGAUUUCCGGUUGUUAGGAUAAUGAUCACCGGCCCAAAGCCGGAUUGUAAUGAGCUCGUAGGCCAGGCUCGUUAGUCGAGAACUUUGUAGGAAAGCAAGUUUAACUUGCGAGCUCACUACAAUCUGAUCUAAACCCAUUUGGAUUUUGAGCUGAUGAUAAUUAUCCUAAAACCGGUGAAUCCAGAGUCAAUGAAAUGACAUUUUUUUUUCAAUCAAGUAUUGUAGUCUGAAUUUUGAGUGCAGGGAACAUUAGAUGAUGGAAAGGAAAUAGCAGUGAAGAGAUUGUCGAAACCUUCGGGGCAAGGUUUGGAAGAAUUUAUGAACGAAGUGGUGGUUAUUUCUAAGCUCCAACAUCGAAAUCUGGUAAAAUUUUUUGGGUGUUGUGUUGAAGCAGAAGAGAAGAUGCUCGUCUACGAGUUUAUGCCCAACAAAAGUUUGGACGCUUUUCUAUUCGGUUAGUAAUUUAUUCAAAUUUUAUAGGAUCCCUUAAAAAAAUAAUGUUCUCCCAUAAAUGUUUUUUCCAUUCACAAAAUUUAAACUUAGGUGUAGUGAUAUUUUGAUUCUCUUCACCGUUUAAUAUUUAUUUCAAUUUAUUGACAUAACUUCAAUUAUGUCUACAAUCAUGGUAGAAAUACAAUGAUGGUUGUAGUUUAGAUCCUCAAUUAUAGGAUUUCAUUAUUAAUUUAGUAGGUUUUUAUGUUUAAAUUUUGUUAUAGAUCCCGUUAAACAAAAACUCUUGGAUUAGAGAAAACGCUUUAAUAUUAUUGAAGAGAUCAUUCGAGGAUUGCUUUAUCUUCAUAGAGAUUCAAGAUUGAAAAUUAUACACAGAGAUCUAAAAGCAAGUAAUGUUUUACUUGACCAAGAGCUAAACCCAAAAAUUUCAAAUUUUGGGAUAGCCAGGAUCUUUGGAGGUGAUGAAAAUCAAGCCAACACUAAAAGGGUUGUUGGAACUUAGUAAGUUGGAACUUCCUUCCUACCAUUUCUUUUUAUGCUCUUUUUAAUAAAAUAUGGUAUAAAUAUGUCUAUGGUCGGAUUUGGUGCUUAAAGAUGAUACAUGUCUAUACUUGUAUCGAGUUUAAUUUUGUUCAAUUUGUGGACUCAAUUUAUUGUUUUUAAUUUUAUAAAUAAAAUAUUAAAAAUAUAUUUUUAUAUUUUUAUAGUUAACUUUAAAUUAUUUAUUAUUUAUUCUUAAUUCAGGUUGGCUCGUGGACAAGUUUAAAUAAGAGCUGUAAUUGGUGUUGUUUUUUUAUGUUAAAAUACAGUGGUUAUAUGUCUCCUGAGUAUGCAAUGCAUAGGCGAUUUUCAGAGAAAUCUGAUGUGUUCAGUUAUGGAGUUCUACUACUAGAGAUUGUUAGUGGAAGAAGAAACACAAGCUUUUACAACAAGGAUGACCUUAGCCUCUUGGGAUUUGUAAGUUUAUAAGAUAGUUAGAGAUGUUGGUGGAUGGAAUUAGGGUGUAAGAUUUUGUAUAUGCGAGCUAUUCGGGUUUGGUUUGAGAAAACUUGAAUUUGGCUCAAUAAUUAUUGAGUCAAGCAAUCAUGUGAGUUGAAUUUGAGAAUCUUAAUACUUGGAUCGAGUAGCUCACAAGUGAAUUUCAAGAACCUUAAUACUUGAAUUGAGUAGCUUGCAAGGCUUUUCAAUCUUAAUCAAUAUUGAAAAUUUUCAGUUCAAACUCGAGCUUAAUUACAAAUAAUCAAGUUUGAAGUUAUGCAUAGGAGUGAAGCUCAUUGUAGACUUAGGUAAAACAAACCUAAUCAAGAGAGUUAGAACACUUCCAUUAACUCUAUUAAAGCUUUAAGAUUAAGAAUUUGAGUCAAGUUAAGCCAAAUGAUUUAGGCAUUAAUUUAGAUAAAAUUAUUUACUGUUUCAAGUCUGGAAAUUAUGGAACGAAGGCAACAUUUGGGACUUAGUAGACAAGGUGAUUUCAAAGUCGGAAUCAGAUUUAAAGAAUAAGAAAGAAAUAUGGAGAUGCAUACAUGUUGAAUUGCUAUGUGUUCAAGAAUAUGCUAAAGAUAGGCCAACUAUGUCUACUAUUGCUUCAAUGCUUAACAGUGAGAUUUCAGAUCUUAACAUUCCAAAACAACCUGCUUUCACUCAAACACUAUUAAUUAGCGAUGAUUUUGAAGAUUGUGUUUCAUUUAAUGAUGUAACUCUGACGGGCUUUGAUGGUCGAUAAAGAUACAAAUUAAUUAUUUGUAGUGUUUACAAUUAAAGGUCAAGUAGUAAAAUGUAUUUUUUAUAUUAUGUUUUGAUAUGUUUUUAUUAUUUUAUUUUGAUCAUAAUUUUUCAUUUUAUUUGUUCCAUUCUAUAGUGAAUUUACCAUUAUAUUUAAACACGGUAGCAUUGUCUAGAGGUGAUCAUGGGCAUGGCUGGGCUAGGUUCGGGUCGGGCCCAGAAAAGUUUUUUGGCCCGCGUCCUAGGCCCGUGCCCAGCCCGGCCCGAAAUAUGGGCCUAAAAUUUUGUCCAGACCCAGCCCGACAAAAAUUCCUAAGCCCGAGCCCGGCCCAGCCCGACCUUUUUUUUUCCAUACAUUAACCAAUCAACAUAUUUAAUUUUAUAACAAAAUAUAAAUUGUAAGCUAAAUUAAAUUUUCAACAAAUAGAAAUGAAGUAUCCUAAAACGUAACCGAAGAAACAUCAUCCUCAUUGUCCUCAUCGUCCUUUUUGCAACCAAUUUAUUAUAUUCGGAAAUGUAUUUUAAAAUUAAAAAAAUAAAAAAAAGUAUUUUAAAAAUACUUUAAAAUAAAAAAUAAAAAAAUAAAUUAUAUAAAUACUAAAUAUCUGAAUGUCUAAUGGGAAAUGGGGAAAUGAGAAAUGUAUUUUAAAAAUAAAAAAAUAUAUAUUUAUUAUAUAUUUGGGCCGGGCCGGGCUGGGCCAGACGUGGGCCAAAAAAGUUUUGCCCGAGGCCCGGCCAGUUUUCUAAACGGGUCUCAUUUUUUUGCCCAAAUCCAUAUUUCGAACUUAUAUUUUUACCUGAACCCUCCCAUAUUUCGGACGGGCUAUCGGGCCGGGCCGGGCCGGGCCGCUCAACCCAUGAUCACCUCUAGCUUUGUCCCAAACUUGAAAACUUGAUUUUAUCAAAUCCAAACUUAAACUUGACAUAACUUGAGUUGAAUAUAAAAGAUCGACAAUUUAAACCCGUGUACCUUAAACUUAAAAAUGAUCUAAAACCUAAAAUGAUUUGAAUUUAAAGUGACCAAAUUCAAAAUUUCUUAAAUACAUAACUCGAAAUGUUCUGAACCUAAUAUGACCUAACUUGAAAACCCAACUUACAAAUCCACUUGAACCCAAAAUAGCUUCAACCUUAAACUAAUUCAAAUUCAAAAUUAUUCAAAAAAUUUAAAAUUCGAAUUUAGUUCAUUCAAAACCAGUCCAAAAUAGAUUCUGUUAUACUUUAUGUCACUAUUUGUGGUGAUUAUCACUUUUGUUUAUUGAAUUUUGCGGGGUAAAAAAGCUCAUGAAGUUUUUAAAAAAAAUAUUGAAGUCAUUCGACAAAAAAUGCAUUCAAUUAUACUUUUAAAUUUGAAAAUUGCAUCAAGCUCUUUAAUCAAUGAAAUCCAUCCUUGAUCGUUAAUUUUGUUAAAAGUUGCUGAUAUGGUAGUUAAAUAAUUGUUAAAUCAUUCAUUUUCUUUCAAGUCAGUCCAAAGUAGUAGAUAAAGUGUCAACGUAAUGACAUGGGAAUUGGAGAAUAAAUUUAAAGAUAUUAUUAAUUAAACUUAAUGAUAGUUGUCAAAGCAUUUGUUUUCUUCCAAGUCGCAAGCACGAGCGAUCGGUACAUCCAAACCUAACCAUAAAGAAAACACCAAAUUUUGAUGGGUAUCAUCCACCAAAAAUAAAAUAUUUACGCUUAAAAUUGAAAUUAAAUUUAAAUAUAGGAAGUAAGGUCAAUCCCAUAGAGAUUGAUCUAAUUGAAUCCGGAUUUAAUUAUAACUAGAAUGUGUUGUAUGCAGUUUUCAUUUCCACAACUCAUGCCAAUAUGUAUGAAACAAAAAGGGGAUUAAAUUGAAAUAUAAAAUAAAUAAUAAGAAAAUAAAUAUAGUACAAAGAUUAAACAUUCCUAUCUUUCAACAUUAGACCUCAAAGUUUUUUAUCUUUUACAAUUAGAUCCCUAACAACUAGACCUGUUCAUGGGUCGAGCCACUCAGCCUAGCCCGAAAAGUGGGAGGGUUUGGGCAAAAUAUAUGCCCAAAAAAUGGGUUUGGGAAAAAAUAUAAAGCCCGUCUAAAAAAUCGGGUUGGGCUUUGAGUAAAGCAUUUUUUGCCCAGGUCUGGCCCGGCCCGAAUUCACAAAAGGACAAAAAAUCUACUAAUUUUUGUUGUUUUAAUGUUAUUUUCUUGUUAUUUUCUCCCUAUUUUGCUACCAUUUCACUAUUAUGUUACAUAAAUUUUGUUGUUAUUGUUUUGAUAUUGUAUAACACUUGAUUUAUUAUUACUUUUGUUAUUAUUUUAGAGGCAUUUGCUUGUUAAGUUGCAUUUAUCUUUGUUAGGGAUCGACCCGAUUAAGCAACAAGUAACAAAAAUAGCGGAAUAAAUUGAGAAAUUGAACACACAAAUUUAACGUGGAAAAACCCCUCCAAAGAGGAUAAAAAACCACGGGCAAAGAUAAUUUUACUAUAAUGGCAAAAGAACGAAGAGUACAAAAGAUGGAGAUAAAACUAAACCCCAAAAACCCGAAAACAAAGAACCCUCAAAACAUAAACACAAAAUUCUCUAAAUGUGUUCUGAGUUCUAAUAUCUAAUGGGUGUCUAUACUAAGGUUGUAAAAGAGCAUAUUUAUAGGCUAAAUUCAUAUGUCAAAUAAUAAUAAAAUAAUCUAAACUAAUCAAUGUUUGACUGAAAUAAAUAAACAGAGUUUAACUAAAAGAUUAUUUCUCAAAUUUGACUGAAAAUAGGAGUCAUACUUAACAAAUCUCCACCUUGACUCAUAUUUCCACAACACCAUCUUUGCCAAAGCCUGCACGAGCCUAUCUUGAACUAUGCAAGGAAUUAACUGAGUCGAAUCUGUGCUUAGAAACUGGAUUCUAGCCUUCGACUUGUACACUGCCAAAUCAAAACUAACCCAGGUUUGAUUUUCACGAACACAGUGCCCUAACUUUUUAAAACCUGCAUCCAAAAGAGAACCUCUCUUCAACGAAACGGUCAUACAUUUUUCCCUCUUAUGACCAAGUUGCCUCCGUUCCAAAUGAGUUGACUUCGACUCUGUAACGGAUGAGGGACGUCCGAUUUCACCGGUCACUGUAGAACCUUCCAGAAUAUAAAGACUGCCAGUUCUUUUACCUUUUAACAAAACGAGAGCUCCACGAGAUACUUUAAUGUCGCUUGACUCGAUGUUGAUUCUGCAUCCUUUCAAGUCUAAAAUACUCAAGGAGAUGAGAUUCUUUCGUAAAUCAGGUACAUACCAGACAUCUGAGAGUGUCCUAAUUGUCCCGUCGUGUGUCCUGAUUUUAACAGUUCAAAUACCAACUACCUUACUAGAUGAAUCGUUUCCCAUGCGCACAACUCCACCUUCAACCGAAUUGUAUGUAGAGAACCAUUUUCUAUUGGGACACAUGUGGAAAGAACAUCCCAAAUCUAGGAUCCACUUGGACGUGAGUUUGGAGUUAUCACUCGUUGACACUAACAAGAAAUCAUCACUGCUUUCAUCGGCCAAAUUAGCACCAGCUACAUCUUCCUCGUUACUCUCAGCAACUCUUUUAUUUCGCAGUUUAUAACAAUCUGCUUUGACGUGACCUAACUUUUUACAAUAGCGACACAUUUUGUCUCGUUUCUUUGAUGCUACUAAAACAGAAGCUUGCCUAUCUGCCUUGCUAUCCAAAUGAAGCUCAUUGUCGAGUUUGUCUCUACUCAGCAAAUGACCCUUCACAUCUUCGAACGAGAUUUUGUCUCUGCCAUAAAUCAGGGUCUCCCUGAAAGACUUGUAUGAAGGGGGUAAAGAGCACAAUAAUAGCAUAGCUUGAUCUUCAUCAUCAAUAUGAACCUCAACGUUCUUUAAAUCAUUUAAAAGAGUAAUGAAUUGACUGAUGUGAUCUCUAAGAAGCUCACCUUCGUUCAUGCGAAACGUAAAUAGACGUUGUUUCAACACUAAACGGUUAGCCAAAGACUUAGUCGCAUAAAGAGUUUCUAACCUUUUCCACAAGGCGGAUGAGGUCUUCUCCAUCAAUACCUCUUGCAAUAACGUAUUCGCGAGGCACAACUGGAUUGCAGACAAGGCCUUUUCAUCAAGUUCUUCCCAUUCUGUUUUAUUUAGAUUCUCAGGCUUUUUCCUGGUAACAACCUUUUUCAAACCGGAUUGAACUAGAAUUUCCAUCAUUCGAACUUGCCACAGAUUGAAAUUUGUCUCACCAUCGAACUUCUCAAUUUCAAACCUUGUUAUUGCCAUAUCUGAAUGGGCUGAUCUAUGAAAAUUGAACUAGCUCUGAUAUCACUUGUUGGGGAUCGACCUGAUUAAGCAACAAGUAACAAAAAUAGCGGAAUAAAUUGAGAAAUUGAAUACACAAAUUUAACGUGGAAAAACCCCUCCAAAGAGGAUAAAAAACCACAGGCAAAGAUAAUUUUACUAUAAUGGCAAAAGAACGAAGAGUACAAAAGAUGGAGAUAAAACUAAACCCCAAAAACCCGAAAACAAAGAACCCUCAAAACAUAAACACAAAAUUCUCUAAAGGUGUUCUGAGUUCUAAUAUCUAAUGGGUGUCUAUACUAAGGUUGUAAAAGAGCCUAUUUAUAGGCUAAAUUCAUAUGUCAAAUAAUAAUAAAAUAAUCUAAACUAAUCAGUGUUUGACUGAAAUAAAUAAACAGAGUUUAACUAAAAGAUUAUUUCUCAAAUUUGAAUAAAAAUAGGAGUCAUACUUAACAAUCUUAGUGUUAUUUAAGUAUAUAUUCAUAUUUUUUAAAGUUUUAGUAUUUUGAUAUAUUAUAUAUUUAAAAAUUAUAUACAAAUAAUAUAAAAAAAUUAGUAUAGGUGGGUUAGACCCGAGUUUUAGUAUUUUUAUCUGAAUCGGGUCUGGAUAAAAUUUUAGACCCAUUUUUUAGGCCGAGCCCGGGCCUAUUUUUUUGACUUGACCCAGACUCCUUCCGGCCUAGCCCAUAAGCACCUCUACUACCAACAUAUAUUUACUCGAACUUAUCCAAGCUUGAAUUAAUAUCUCUUAACACAUUUUCUCCAUUUUCACAUUAUAGAUUUAACUAACAUUAAACAUCCUAACUCAAUUUUGAUUUAGGGGUGAGCAUUUGACUGAAUCAAGUGAAAAAAAAAUGAGUUUAUGAGUCCUAUUUUAUCAUCCUUACUGAAUUUGAAUUUUUUUUAAUUGAGUCGAGUGAAAUGAAAUUCGAGUCAAGUCAAAUAGAAUCAAGUGAAAUUGUUCAAGUUAGAUUUUUUUUUAAAAAAUUAAACAUUUCAAAUAAAAAUAUUAUUACAGUAUAACUAAUUCCAUAUUAGGGCACAUAAAUUUAAAUUUUUUUCGAAGCAAAAAAAAAAGAACUUGAGUAUGAUAAAUUUGAAUCAUUACUUAAGUCUCCAAGAUUAUUGUUUUAGAAAAAUUUUAAAAUAUUAACUCUUUUUAUAUAUUUUUUAGAAUUUUUAUAAUUUUUUAAAAUAUAUAAUUUUGGAAAUUUUUAUAAAUAUUUUGAAUUUUAAAAAUUAUUUUGAAUUCUAUUUAUAAUUUUUGUUGAGGGAGAGAGACCAAUUUGCUUAUUUUCAAAGUUGACAGGAACCAAAAUGAUGUUUAUACCAAUCUGUUAUUUGAAUUAUUCGAGUUAUACGAAUUGUGAAAUUCAACUCGACUUAAACUCCAAAUUCAAAUUGAGUUAUUCGAGUUGACUCGAAUAAUUCAAAUAACUCGAAAUUAAAAAAAUUGAUGUUUUUCAAUCGAAUUGAAUUUUGGUCACCUUUAAGAGGAUACAAAAAAUAAGUCAUAACUUGAUCCACGAACAUGUCUAAUAUAACUAUAUUCCAAGAUUUAAAUAGUAAUAGCAAUGUAAUAUUUUGACUCUUUUCAUUGUUGAAUAUUUAUUUCAAUUAAUCGACAUAACAUCAGUUAUAUCUACAAUCACAAUGAAUAUGGUAAGGUAUAAAACACAACAAUAAUUGUAGUUUAGAUCCACUAUUAUAGGAAUUUCCGUUAAUCUUGGAGGUCUCCAUGUUUAAUUUUUAUAUAAUAUAUCCCGUUGGACCCAGCCAAGCACCUAAAAAGGAAGCAUUCCUCCCCUCGUUUGGGUUUUCUAAUACAUGUUUAAUCACUUUUAAAAUGUUCACAUUUAAUAGAUAUAACUUUAAAUAGCGAUAAUCAUUAUAUUAGAUAUUAAUAAAUGAAAAAAAUGGAACAGAUAUUAACUCAUAUACACAUCGAAAACGCUCUUCCAUUUCUAACCAAUUUCCAUCAAUGCAUUGAAUUAUGUCGGUCAGUAAAAACAAAAUAAAACUAAUUUACAUGACUACUUAAAUUUUGCUUUGAAGUUAAAUUUGUAAUAUUUCAAAUAACAGGUUUAAUACAUUAUAAUGUUGUAUUAAUUUUAUAUAUUUAUACAAAUUUAUUUAACAAAUUGAAUUUUAAUUUAAUGGUUGAUUUUGAUGUAAUUUACAUAUAACAUGAUAUUAAACAAAUACAGAUCUUAUAAAAAGAAAAACUAGGGAACUAUUUAAACUUAGAUUGAUUGUUUACUUUAGCCAGGUCUAACUGGACAGGUCUACUUGUAAGAUUGGAAUAGCUAAUGGUUCCAACUUGUCAUCUCAUGGUACAAAAACGGAUAAACAUUGUUAAAGACAAAAAAGUCUUUGCUCAAUAAUUAUAAUUUUACAAAUAUACAUGCGAGUUGACUCACAGAUCAUUCAUGAAUUUGAUUCCUCAAAAAUCAUUUAUAAAUCAUAGCCUCACCUCCGGGGUCUGCACUUCAAGAACUUCAUGGGUAAAACUAUUAGUAGCUGCCUUUUACCAGCUUUAAUAUCUUGUUUUUACUUGCAGCUGCAGUUUGGCACUGCUUCAGACACCAUAAGAGCAUCAGAAUCCAUCAAAGACCCUGAAUUUAUAAUCUCACAGGGUGGAGUUUUCCGAUUGGGAUUCUUCAGCUUUGCUAAUUCCACCAAUCGUUAUGUAGGGAUAUUGUACAACCAAAUCCCCGUACAAACUGUUGUAUGGGUGGCAAAUAGAAACAGGCCUCUCAAAGACUCUUCUGGGGUUCUCACCAUAUCAGAUGAUGGCAACCUUGUUGUUUCCAAUGGAAAAGCUGAGCUUCUUUGGUCAACAAAUGUUACGAAUCUGGUUCCUAAUGCAACAACUGCACAGCUUUUAGACUCUGGAAAUCUUGUCCUCAAUAAUGGCGACAAUGGAGGAAGCAGCAGCUUAUGGGAGAGUUUUCAACACCCUUCUAAUGCAUUCCUUCAAACUAUGAAGAUCGGCGUUGAUGUAAAAACGGGUCGUAAGGUGCAUACGAGAUCAUGGAAAGGCCCUGAUGAUCCAUCUGAUGGUAACUUUACUGAUUGCCUUGAACCUUUCAACAUCCCAGAGGGUGUCAUUCGGAACAAUAACCAGAUAUAUUUUCGGACUGGCCCAUGGAAUGGCCAUUUCUAUAUUGGUUUAAUAGAAAUGAAUACCGUUUAUCUUGAUGGGUUUUAUGUGGUUGCAGACGAUGAAGGAAAAAGUUAUUAUGAAACUUACGAAUAUUCUAAUAAGUCUAUGUUGAUAUACUAUGAAUUAGAUUAUGAAGGAAGAUUCGUUGAACGAAAAUGGGAUGCGGGGAAAGGGGACGGGAUAAACCGUUACCUAAUUCUUCAAAAUGAUUGUGAUUUUUAUGGGAAGUGUGGGGCAUUCGGAAUCUGCGAUCCAAAGAAACAACCCAUUUGCCGUUGCUCAAAGGGAUUUAAGCCUAGGAAUGCAGAGGAAUGGCGUAGAGGUAAUUGGAGUAGUGGGUGUUUUAGGACUACCCCUUUGCAGUGCCAAAGAGAUAACAACAAUGGCAGUGGAGGAGCAGGCCAAAGUGAUGAUGGGUUUUUGAAGCUGAAGACGAUGAAAGCACCGGCUUUUCCAGAUCGGUCAUCAAUAAUUAACGGCGAAUGCAAAGAUCAAUGCAUGAAGAAUUGUUCGUGUGUGGCUUAUGCGUAUGAUGCUGGAAUUGGUUGCAUGUUUUGGAGUGGAGAUUUGAUUUUGAUGUCCAGAAAUUCCCCACUCGCGGAGUCGAUCUUUACAUUCGUCUGCCAUCUUCGGAACUGGGUAAAGUUUCUUAGUGUCGACCAUGUGUUUGAUAAAUUGCGUCAAUAUCUGCCUUUUUGGGUUAAAGUUAUUAACCAAGUUUUUCUAUUUGCAGAUACAGGGUUUAGGGUUAUUGUUAUUACAACAGUAACUGCGGGCAUAGUCGUUAUUACAAUUUCUACACUCUUCUUAUGGUGUAGGAAAGCUAAAUAUAAAGGUAAUACAUAUGAAAAAUAUUUAUAUGUAUAAAUAAUUUACUAAGAAAUUACAAAUUAAACUAAAAAUAUAUAUGUGAAAAAUAUUGAUAAAUCUAAAACGAUAUAUUGAAACAUGGUGUUAUUUGUCCAUAGUUACAUAUUAAUGCCAAGACAACAACAGUAUGUCUGUCAAUACGUUACUAACUACUUUGAUCCUAUCUCAGGAAGAAAUAAAAAACGAAAACAAAUCAAACACCAGUUUUCUAGUGAAAAUAUUGGAGAAAAUCCAGUUGGAGUUAAACUCCAGCAGCUGCCACUAUUCAAUUUCGAAGAACUUGCCACCGCGACCAACAACUUCCAUCCCGAAAAAAAGCUAGGGCAGGGUGGUUUUGGUCCGGUUUACAAGGUAAUAAAUAACGGCGAUUUCCGGUGAAUUCAGAGUCAAUGAAAUGACUUCUUUUUUUCAAUCAAGGAUUGUGAUCAGAAUUCUGAGCGCAGGGAACAUUAGAUGAUGGAAAAGAAAUAGCAGUGAAGAGAUUGUCAAAAGCUUCGGGGCAAGGAUUGGAAGAAUUUAUGAACGAAGUGGUGGUUAUUUCAAAGCUCCAACAUCGAAACCUGGUUAGAUUAUUUGGGUGUUGUGUUGAAGCAGAAGAGAAGAUACUCGUCUAUGAGUUCAUGCCCAAUAAAAGUUUGGAUGCUUUUCU